rnacentral:rRNA from 1 species
GUAGGUGGCAAGCGUUGUCCGGAAUUAUUGGGCGUAAAGCGCGCCCAGGCGGUUCUUUAAGUCUGAUGUGAAAGCCCACGGCUCAACCGUGGAGGGUCAUUGGAAACUGGAGAACUUGAGUACAGAAGAGGAAAGCGGAAUUCCACGUGUAGCGGUGAAAUGCGUAGAGAUGUGGAGGAACACCAGUGGCGAAGGCGGCUUUCUGGUCUGUAACUGACGCUGAGGCGCGAAAGCGUGGGGAGCAAACAGGGAUUAGAUACCCUGGUAGUCCACGCCGUAAACGAUGAGUGCUAAGUGUUAGGGGGGGUUUCCGCCCCCUUAGUGCUGCAGCUAACGCAUUAAGCACUCCGCCUGGGGAGUACGGCCGCAAGGCUG